rnacentral:rRNA from 1 species
AGCGAACGCUGGCGGCAGGCUUAACACAUGCAAGUCGAGCGGGCAUCCUUGUGGUGUCAGCGGCAGACGGGUGAGUAACGCGUGGGAACGUGCCCUUCGGUUCGGAAUAACUCAGGGAGACUUGAGCUAAUACCGGAUACGCCCUUUUGGGGAAAGGUUUACUGCCGAAGGAUCGGCCCGCGUCUGAUUAGCUAGUUGGUGAGGUUAUGGCUCACCAAGGCGACGAUCAGUAGCUGGUCUGAGAGGAGGAUCAGCCACACUGGGACUGAGACACGGCCCAGACUCCUACGGGAGGCAGCAGUGGGGAAUAUUGGACAAUGGGGGCAACCCUGAUCCAGCCAUGCCGCGUGAGUGAUGACGGCCUUAGGGUUGUAAAGCUCUUUUCUCCGGGACGAUAAUGACGGUACCGGAGGAAUAAGCCCCGGCUAACUUCGUG